AGUGAACGCUGGCGGUAGGCCUAACACAUGCAAGUCGAACGGCAGCACAGUAAGAGCUUGCUCUUACGGGUGGCGAGUGGCGGACGGGUGAGGAAUACAUCGGAAUCUACUUUUUCGUGGGGGAUAACGUAGGGAAACUUACUCUAAUACCGCAUACGACCUACGGUUGAAAGCAGGGGAUCUUCUGACCUUGCGCGAUUGAAUGAGCCGAUGUCGGAUUAGCUAGUUGGCGGGGUAAAGGCCCCCCAAGGCGACGAUCCGUAGCUGGUCUGAGAGGAUGAUCAGCCACACUGGAACUGAGACACGGUCCAGACUCCUACGGGAGGCAGCAGUGGGGAAUAUUGGACAAUGGGGGCAAGCCUGAUCCAGCCAUACCGCGUGGGUGAAGAAGGCCUUCGGGUUGUAAAGCCCUUUUUUUGGGAAAGAAAAGCAGCAGGUUAAUACCCCGCUGUUCUGACGGUACCCAAAGAAUAAGCACCGGCUAACUUCGUG
rnacentral:rRNA from 1 species